rnacentral:lncRNA from 1 species
ACGGGUGUCUUUUCUGUUAGAAUUUUAUUAUCUCCUUUACCCAGUAACAGGUAGUGGAUAAUAAAUUUUUGCUCCUCCUGUGUUGAAGUUUAUUUCUUCCCCAGUUGAGUUAAGUGCGCAUUUCCUUGGUGAAAUCCGUUGUUUCUGCAUGACUCAAGUAUUUCAGAUUUAUUAUAAUCUACCUGUUUCCCCUGUAGAUGUUCC